GCACUGUAAAUUUGGGGGUAUGAGAAUUUGAUUGUCAUAAACGAAUGAAUAAAGUGGAAGAGUUGUAUGAUUUACAUUAUACCUAUAUAUUAGGCAACUCAAAAUACAAGUCGCGUCACAAAAGCAAGUGGAGACUAAUAGAAGAAUAUUAAUUUAGUAUGGCUUUUGUAUUCUGAAAAAUAUGCUUUAUAAUAAGAACGAUGAAAAUAUGAGCAAUAUGCAGCUAGUUAAUAUGUUUUAUUUUAAAAAACAUUCAAGUGCUUCCCCGAAGAGGUUUUUUUAGUGAAAUUUCAGAAAGUCUUGUCAGAUAUGGGAUAAUGUAAAUAAGAAUAUUUAACGUGGUAUAAUUAAAAACACAAUACACUUAAAUGAAAUCAGUUGAAACGAAUAGAUAGUAAAAAUGUCAGAAACAAUAUGAUACAAAAGAUUAGAGCUACAUAAUAAUAAAGCCUGCAACCCCUUACUUAGGUGUGGUAUGGUAUGGGCGGGUUAUGGAUACUUCAUUCCAGCGUCAGUGUUGGAACAUUGAUGAAACGAGAUUAUACAAUCUGCAUCUAAGGCAAGAGCAAAAUGCUAUAAAAUGAAUUAGCAGAAUAUAGCCCAAACCUCAGAUAACGUUUAAAUAAAGAAGGAUUCAGCAUCAGACCGGCCUUCACUUACUUACUUACUUCACUUCCCAGCGAACAUAAAAUUCAACGAUUGAAUUUUGUCAGAAUAUAUCAGAACUGGACUAUUAAUGAUUGGUAAACACUCUGUUCUUUGAAAGAUGCAUGCGAACAUGAGUGUUCUAGCGAAAAAAAGGGGAAAUUUUGAAAAUUGUAAUACCUAGUUGCCUUUUGUUACUGACUCUGAUAUCUUCUUCCUAAGAAGGAAUUUGCUUGGAUCCGAUGCGAUAAACCAAACAAAUUCAAAAACUAAUCACAAAAUGACAACUUUUUAAUGAAGAAAAGCUGCAAUUUAAGUCGUGGGCCUGUUAAAACAUUCUAAUCUUACAUGUAGGUAGAAGAUAAAUGUAACAGAAAAUUAAUUUGGAAUCUAACAAUGCAGACAAUGCAAAUACUGCUUUAUGGCGGACAAUUAUCACUAAUAAAGUCAUGCGUCGGAGUCAUUACUACUAAUUUACUUGUGUCAAAUAAUAUUUUUCAAAAGUGUAAAGAAAAAAUAAGCCAUCAGCAUGCGCUGCGUUAAUAAUUGAAAACAGGAUUUAAGGUAAUCAAAAUGUAUAAUCAAUUUUCUUUAUAGUGUAAGCAAACAUUGCUUAAAAUAGUACCGUGAUUCUAAAUUUCUAACUAUGUUGAAUGAUAUAUGUAUAUGUAUACAGUUGGUUUUGGUACAUAUAGAAUAAAUAAUUUAAAGCGGAUUUUAUCCUUCCUGCGAAACAUACAUACAAUAUUUUUAAUGAAACCAUCAUGGUAAAUCAGAAUUAUGGGUUACUCGGAUAGUUUUAAAGCGAGAACUCGACAGAAAAAUGGCCAUGACGACGGUGAAUAUCUAGACACCAAAUUUAAUUUACAGUAAUAAUUGAUACUGUUAUGUUUGAUUCACAUUUUUUAAAUAUGUAGGGUGCAUUCCACUAAGCACUCACAACCACGAUCUUUCCCGUUCCCCUUAGUCCAGAGCGUUAUAAUCGUAAACUCAAGUGGAAUGGCUUACGAGGCGUUUUGAGUGUUUAGAAUGCCAAAGCAGAAACAAUAAAGUAAAAGCUUUAAGAAGUUAUGCUACAAUCUGUAAGUCAUUGAUUUUUUUAGUGAAAUGUUUAACUAAUUUACAUCUUCUACGACGAAAGUAAAAUAUUUAGUGGUACGUCACAAGAAUGUAUAACAAGUACCGUAUCAAAUAAUGAGAUUGAUUCCCAUGGAUGCAAUCUGCGUUGCUUGAAUUUUGUUAAUUCCGCUAAUUCUUUCAACGCUCACUUCGAUCCACCUCAUGACAAGGUCGUCAUGAGUGACGUUUUCCCCGCGACCUCAAUGAUCGUAGUCGCUACGUGGAACGCCCAAAAGACUAUUUCUGGCGCCGGAACGCUAAGUGGAAUGCACCAGUACUAAUAUCUGUGUAAGUUCGGUAAUAAUAAUUUAAAAAAAUAGUAUGUAUAUGUCGUGUGAUGGUCUUUUAAAUGAAAGCAUUAAGGUCGAUUCCUAAACGCCGUCUGCCCACUGUUGGGCUCGCGGACCCUCGUUCGCUGUUCGUAGAUAGUUUACUACUCUAUGAAUAUACGAUACAAAAUCAACAUGUUCCGGAGCGGACUGAUAUAGAGCCAGAGCACUAUGUAAAAAAUACACCUAUCAAAUAUCAAUAACUAACAGAAAACAAAAACGGCUUGACAGCGAACGUUCUACACGAUUCUGGUCGCGAUAGGUAGCAGUAGCGAUAUGCGCUACAUCCGAUAAAUGCGACCAAUACCUUCAACAGGAGACGUUGUGGCAACGUUAUUUUUGAAAGCUCUUACGCAUUUCAAUCAUUUAAUUUGAGAAGAACGAUGAACGCAGUCGGCAACGGCGAGCGGAACAAAAGUUUAUUAAUCGACCUUAAAGAAGUGACGAACAUGAUGACGAAUCCUUAGAACAUGAUGUGCGUCCAGCCUAUCGAAACGUUCAAUUCUUAUGUUUCAAAUAGAUGUUAAGGAAGUCACUUACACUGGUACAGCGCACAGUAGAUAUUUAAAAAACCAUUAACCAAUGACAUAUGUCUUGGCUAUUAAGUAACUAUCUUCAGUGCACGAUUAAGGAUAACAAAUUUCACUUUUAUUUUAUUACAUUACAGUGUGUACUUAAAAAAAAAGUUGAUUUUCUAAGAGUUAAUUCCGAUUCAUUACAAUCCAUCAAUUGGAAAGUAUCGAUAUUUUUCUCUUCCGUGCCUAUCGCAGAAGUUAUAAGUGGGCAAUUAUAACCACAUACUUUUGCGUAAAUUUCAACGUUUGACGAUUUUCCACAGCCAAAUGACGAUAUGGGCAAAAAACUGAAAAAGAGGGUCGACCAAUCCAGUUCAACAAUUACGAUUAAACGAAAUAUACAGAAUACAAAUUAGUCAAUAGGAAAAAAGUUGAGGGAGAGAGAGAAAAAAAUUGUUUACAGUUACUUCACAAAUUAUCUUUACCAGAUAAUCUAUAGAAGAGGUUUUGUUGAACUAAACACGCUAAUUCUAAUUUGACAUGAAAAGCAGACGACAAACUUCGGAAUGACGUCUUUCAGUGGCAGUAAAGAGUGAGAUUAUUUACCGUUAAGCUGCAUAUGAGAUGAUAAAUUAAUUAAUUAAUUAAUUCGUGGAUUUUGUAUCACGUACCAACGUUAGGGUACCAUUUCACAAGACUAUCAAGUUCCUGGCUCAAACACCCUAUAUGACUCCAUUAGUGUUAUGUUCGAAUUACAACGGCUUUCAAUCGAUUAUAAAAGACAUGGCAGAAACUCGGCGGGUACAUAAUUCUAUUUCUUUAUUCAAAUGAAUUUGAUGGACUUCCAGUACUUAUUUUAAAACUGAUAUUAAACAAAAAAAGCCGUGAGCAGCAGAGCUCCAUCACGAAAGUCGAAUUUUUCGUCGAAUGAAGAAUUUAACUAAUACACAAACAAAUCUUUCCAUAAAAUGAAUUUCUUCGAAAUGAUAUCAAUUCUCAAUUUUAUUUCUUUAUAUGGAAAAUUUGCUAUUCCUCAAUAACUUUUCAUUUCACAAGUUAACUAUCUCUCUCUCUCUCUCUCGAAUGAAAAUUCAUAAUUUCAAUAGACGCGGUGGUCUCGAACCCUCUUGUUCAAUUCCAAUUGACAACAAAGAAAAAAUUGUCAUAAUGACAAGAAAUUUCGAAAAUGGGAUGUAAAAAAAAUCACCCUAGCAACGAUCAUAUUCGUAUUAUUCAUUAAAUAGGAGGCGGUCCAGUUCAACAAUUACAACGAUCAAAAUGAUUUCGGGCGUUUUGUGCUAGAAGAACUGAAGAAGAAAACUUUGAACUUGAGAAAGACAAUUCUUCAACAUCACCCCUACUUACAUGCGAAGUUAAACUUUUUCUGGUCAAAAAAUAAGAAAAUAUAACAAAAAUGACCAUAAAAUGGAGAGGGGUGGAGAUGGAAAGUUUCGACCUUAGACAGGAAAUCAUCUCGCAACUAUUUGAACCUACAUGUGAAAUUUCAUUUUUCAGUCGCUUUUCGUUUGACCUGCAGAGGUGAGCAAAGGUCAAAAACCACUUUUUUUGCACUGCGACCCCUCGAAAUAUUCAUUUGUUUUCAACCAAACUCUAAUAACAUCAAUCCGCCGCCAAAAAAGCCAUGUGUAUGCUAAUUUUGAACCAAAUCGGACCCAUAGCAAUUGCUCGAGAGACGAAAAUAAGAAUUGUAGCUUAAACAUGGGAAAAAUUAUGUGCCCCCCAUUUUUCUUCUAGUCAUGCCUACUGUAAUAGUCUAAUUUUUCCUUGAAAAAUUCGACUAAAAACAAUGUUUAACAAGUUUUUAAGUUAUUAUUAUCAAAUAAAAUGCUUUAAUCAAAUGUAUAAUUAUGUAUUUAAAAUACGAAUCAGUUUUUAUUGAAAAAAUAGCAAGAAUAAUCAAUAGUGUAAAUGCUACGGGUUAGGACACAAUAGAUCCUUUGGUUCGCUGAAUUACACAUACAUUUAUUUAGAAAUUGAUGCUCCUACAUAAAGUUGAAAAUUAGCUGAACUAUCGUAUGUGUACUAAUUUUGUAUUUUUUAUUAUAAAAAACGGAUACUUCUAUAUAAGUACUUGCAAAAUGCGCAAAAUAGUAUAAACAAACCUCGCAAAAAGUAGUUUAGCUAAAAUUAUACAGCUCGCUCAUACUGGUAUUGGUUUAUUGAUACUACAUUUGUUUAUUAAAGUAUAUUAUGUUAUUAGUAGAUUUUCUAUUUGUUAUUGUAGGCAGUUAUAAAAAUUUUCAAACUUGAAUUUUUCAUAAUAAAUCUAAAGUGCAACGAAUUAAGUAACUAAUACCCCUAACUUGAAUUAAUAUAGGAUAGUGCGUAUUUUUACUUUCGUGUUUUAUAUUUUCCACAAAACAUUAUACUUACUAGAGCU